GCCAGCAUGGCAUAGUGGUCCAAGUGUCAGACUAUGACUCUGGAGACCAGGGUUCAAUUCCCAGCUUGGAUG